UGUGUUUGGAACAUUCGAAUGUAACGUUAUAAGGUAGCAGUCUUAGGAUGGUAAAUUAUAUAAGUCAUUAAACAAAUAACUUUGUUGCACCACAUAUGCAUAGGCUAAUAGCAAAAGUAGCUAAUUAAACUAUUUUUUGUCGCAAAUAAGUUGAUAAUGCAAGAUACAGGGAAAUGCAAGAUUUUCAGUAGCGAUAUGUUACCUAUAUUACACUAGCUCGCAACAAUUAAGCCUCUUUUAGCCAACAUGAUCAGAUGAAGAACAGUGUUGCCAGAUUGGUUUGUUUUCCAGCCCAGUAAUUACUUAAAAUCCACACAAAAUUAUACAAUAAACUCCCAGAAUGAUCUAUAAUAAACAAUACAACUUAAUUCAUACCAGCACUACUUUUGUGGCUUGUCAUGUUUUAAUAUGAAAUAAUAAAUAAUUUAAGUGCUCUUUCAGAUAUUAUAUAGGAGCCUACGAUAGACACUGCGAAUGUAAAAUUAUUUUCCAUUUCUGUACUUUCCCUUAAAAUAGCAAAAUUUCACCUGCCCAAGCCCAUUUUAAUACACAUAGUACAACCCAGAACCAACUAAAUGGGUGGAAAACAUUCUGCCUGACAAGACUGAUGGAGAAUACUGGUGAAAAUGUAAUGCUCUUUAUCUCCUACAGCACACACACACACACACACACACACUGGGGGAAAUCUGUCCUUAAAAGCAAAUGCUGGUCGUAUGAUCUGUAUCCACACAUCCAUCCAGUAAAACCUUUCAUAGAAACUGCCAGUAAACAAUAAAUACGAUAAUUGUUUAUAAACAAAUAAUAUUAUGCUCAUAAAAAUAUGCCAAUUUAGCUGUUUUAUUUAUUCUGCUAUAUAUUAUUACAAAAAUGUGAUUACAGUACAGAAUAUAUAUGACAUAAACUGCUUCACGUUCACAAGGUCACGUUCUUUCUGAUCCCAUUUUUAAACCCUAGUUAGUGUGUAAUGUUGCUUUCAUAGCAUAAAUAAUACCUGUAAAAUGAUAAAGCUGAAAGUUCACUGCCAGUCGAUUUAUUUUCUUUAACAGAAUUUGCCUUUCAAAGCCUACAGCGAACGGCCGGUUUGGACUUCAGCCCUCUACUUUCUGCUUUAAUGAUGUCACUAGAACAGUUUUUUGACUAAACUCCGCCCACAGGAAUACAUCAGUGGCCAGCUAAGCUAACGGUGCGAGCCAAGCCAAUUUUAUUUAUUGGGAAACAGGAUAAAAAGGCUUCGAAUAAGUGGGUUGCAUAUAUUAUUACCCAUUGGCACCCCACUCCUGUCACUACAAUUUUUUGGAGGAGAUGCGGAGGGCUUUAUCUUGACAAAAGCAACCUCCACAGGACAGCAGCCUGAGAGCCUUGCCAUGGAGCGGCCUGAGAGCCCUGCUGUGAAAUGGCCGGAGAACCUCACCAAGAAGUCUAAGGUUGCUGAAAAUGUAGAUGGCAGAAGGUUUCCUUUUCGAUAAAAUAACUGAGGAACAGAUAAAUGAGAGGAAAGCCGAAUUGAAAGUUCACUGGUUACGUGCUCUGUGUGUGGAAAAACCUGGGAUGACACAUAGGAGCCUGCCAGCAAAUUCCAACACAAGUCCCCACAUCCCAACCAGUUUUCAGCAUGACAGCCUACACCUUUACAUUAUCAAGCACCCUUCAACUGUUUAAUUUUGAGUGUCUUUGCUUGCUGUUCUUUAUUAAAGUUUUUGCACAGUA